GCAGACGGGCGGGCUAUAGCUUUGUAAGAAGAGGAAAGUCCGGACAUCAUGGGACAGCAUAGCGGCUAAUGACCGCGCGGGGCGACCCGACGACCAGUGCCACAGAGACGAGCCGGUUCAGACCGGAGUGAAACGCGGUAAACUCUAUGCGAUGCAACUCCAAAUAGGCCAAUCGCGGACAGGAAUGUCCAGGUGUGUUCCGCACCGAGAAAGGCGGGUAGGAGGCUUGACGUUCGCAGCAAUGCGAAACGCAGAUUAAUUAUAGCCGGUGCGGCAACCUAAAAAGGCCCGCGCCACAGAAUCCGGCUUACAGCCCGUCUGAUAUU
rnacentral:RNase_P_RNA from 1 species